rnacentral:tRNA from 1 species
GGCCGGUUAGCUCAGUCAGUUGAGCAUAGCGCUAACACCGCUGAGGUUACGGGUUCGAUUCCCGUUCCGUCCC